rnacentral:tRNA from 1 species
GGAGUUGUAACUCAGUGGUAGAGCAUAUGCUUAGCAUGCAUAAGGCUAAGCUUCAAUUCCC